GGGCCUUUAGCUUAAUGGUAAAGUGCUUUCUUGUCACGAAAGAUUAUGUCGGUUCAAUUCCGAUAAGGCUCG